rnacentral:rRNA from 1 species
GACAGAGGGUGCAAACGUUGUUCGGAAUUACUGGGCGUAAAGGGCGCGUAGGCGGCCCGUUUAGUCGGGUGUGAAAUCCCGGGGCUCAACCCCGGAACUGCAUUCGAUACUGGCGGGCUUGAGACCGGAAGAGGUGGGUGGAAUACCCAGUGUAGAGGUGAAAUUCGUAGAUAUUGGGUGGAACACCGGUGGCGAAGGCGGCUCACUGGUCCGGUUCUGACGCUGAGGCGCGAAAGCGUGGGGAGCAAACAGG